rnacentral:rRNA from 1 species
UACGUAGGGUGCGAGCGUUAAUCGGAAUUACUGGGCGUAAAGCGUGCGCAGGCGGUUCGUGAUGUCUGAUGUGAAAGCCCCGGGCUCAACCUGGGAACUGCAUUGGAAACUAGCGGGCUGGAGUGUGGCAGAGGGGGUGGAAUUCCACGUGUAGCAGUGAAAUGCGUAGAGAUGUGGAGGAACACCGAUGGCGAAGGCAGCCCUCUGGGCUAACACUGACGCUCAUGCACGAAAGCGUGGGGAGCAAACAGG